GUGGACUUUAAAAUAUCCCUAGCAGAAGCGAUCAUACCCUCCAGCGGUACGCAACCCUCUGCACGCCUCCGAAGAGACGGGGCGCUUCCAUGCAAGGUGGUCAUCACCUCCACACAUGCACUACCUCGCAUCCCAGGGGGUUUCCUAUGGUGAAACCUCUCAAACUCUCAACUCUCAAUAGUCUACUAGCGUGCACAGUGAUGGUGUGGGUGCAUCCGAAACCCUAAGAAGCUAAAGCAAGAUAUGAAACACACUGGCCACACAAAUAUCCAUGAAACCUAGCUCCGGGCUAUAUAGGUCUUCAAUGAUCGGACUCCAAUCGACAUCAAAGUGUCGCUCUCCUCCAGAAUGCUCCCGUACAUCGAUAUAGCCCGUCGCUAGACCCUACUCCUAAUCUCUGGCUCGGUCAGAGAGCAAACACACAGAAGGUCUCACACUUGCAAUAGUGAGAACCGGGAUGAAAGGAAUGACCGAAACCAAGAGAGUUGGAGGUAAGGGGAUAUAUGUGCGGCCCACAUAGAUAGGCAACAUGCAAUCAUGCAUAAGGAAGGCAGUCAUGCACCAUACAGUCAAGCAGAGUACAGGUAUAUCACUCAUGUCCACACAAAAAGCUACAACUACCAGGAUGAAUAGCGAUAUGAACAUCAUGCUCAAAAGACGAUCAAGAUAAUAUGCAAGCUAGAGAAUCGACAUGUCAAAUUGAGUGAUAUAAAAUGGUGAGUGUAUGCAUGUGAAGUGAUCAGAAUAAUCAUGGAAAAAUCAGGAUCAAUGCGCUAAGCAAUACGAAAUGAUCAAUCACUAUAAGCAACAUGUCAAAAUCUCAAAUGAAUAUAUCAAUGAAGCACAAAGAAAAUAACUAUCUCGGAAUCCUCUAUCAAUACGAAUCAAUCAUCAUAAUCAUCA
rnacentral:lncRNA from 1 species